rnacentral:rRNA from 1 species
CACGGGGGGAGCAAGCGUUGUUCGGAAUCACUGGGCGUAAAGGGCGUGCAGGCGGUCAGGUAAGUGGGAUGUGAAAUGCCCCGGCUCACCCGGGGACCGGCAUCUCAUACUGCUUGGCUUGAGUACGGGAGAGGAUGUGGGAAUUCCUGGUGUAGCGGUGAAAUGCGUAGAUAUCAGGAGGAACACCGGUGGCGAAGGCGCACAUCUGGCCCGAUACUGACGCUGAGGCGCGAAAGCUAGGGGAGCAAACGGG